CCUACGGGAGGCAGCAGUGGGGGAUAUUGCACAAUGGGGGGAACCCUGAUGCAGCGACGCCGCGUGGGUGAAGAAGCGCCUCGGCGCGUAAAGCUCUGUCAGCAGGGAAGAAAAUGACGGUACCUGAAGAAGAAGCCCUGGCUAACUACGUGCCAGCAGCCGCGGGAAUACGGAGGGGGCAAGCGUUAUCCGGAUUUAAUGGGUGUAAAGGGGGCGCAGACGGCAAUGCAAGCCAGGGGUGAAAGCCCGGGGCCCAACCCCGGGACUGCUCUGGGAACUGGGAGGCUGGAGUGCGGGAGAGGCAAGCGGAAUUCCUGGUGUAGCAGUGAAAUGCGUAGAUAUCAGGAGGAACACCGGUGGCGAAGGCGACCUGCUGGACUACAACUGACGUUGAGGCCCGAAAGCGUGGGUAGCAAACAGGAUUAGAUACCCUUGUAGUC
rnacentral:rRNA from 1 species